rnacentral:lncRNA from 1 species
ACCACGACCGUUUCUUCUCGUCAGUUCUGCAUCCGGAAGAGGACACGGUGGGGUUAUGUUUGACGUAAGUAGGUGUUUGGGAUCAUUCAUUUGAACAUUAUUAGUUCACGUCCGAUUAUGCGUAGAUCAUCCCCCCUCCUUUAUUCUUGUACUCGUAAGUUAGCCACCUCAAAUGAAUGCUUAGUCGCUUGCCGCAGCCUCACCACUUAACC